rnacentral:rRNA from 1 species
AACGAACGCUGGCGGCGUGCCUAACACAUGCAAGUCGAACGGAGAUAGGAAGCUUGCUUCUUAUUUUAGUGGCGCACGGGUGAGUAACGCGUGGAUAAUCUACCUGAUGCUCUGGGAUAACAUCUCGAAAGGGGUGCUAAUACCGGAUAAGCCCACGAGAUCUUCGGAUCAUGCGGGAAAAGGAGGGGACCUUCGGGCCUUCCGACAUCAGAUGAGUCCGCGUCCCAUUAGCUAGUUGGCGGGGUAAUGGCCCACCAAGGCUACGAUGGGUAGCUGGUCUGAGAGGAUGCACAGCCACACUGGAACUGAGACACGGUCCAGACUCCUACGGGAGGCAGCAGUGGGGAAUUUUGCGCAAUGGGGGAAACCCUGACGCAGCAACGCCGCGUGAGUGAUGAAGGCUUUCGGGUCGUAAAGCUCUGUCAGAAGGGAAGAAAUGUAGGUGGCUAAUAUCCAUUCUACUUGACGGUACCUUCAAAGGAAGCACCGGCUAACUCCGUGCCAGCCGCCGCCGUAAUAC